rnacentral:rRNA from 1 species
GGGCCCGCACAAGCGGUGGAGUAUGUGGUUUAAUUCGAUGCAACGCGAAGAACCUUACCAGGGUUUGACAUCCUGCGAAUCUCUUGGAAACAGGAGAGUGCCUUCGGGAAUUGUGAUACAGGUGCUGCAUGGCUGUCGUCAGCUCGUGUCGUGAGAUGUUGGGUUAAGUCCCGCAACGAGCGCAACCCUUGUCCUUAGUUACCAGCGGGUUAAGCCGGGAACUCUAAGGAUACUGCCAGUGACAAACUGGAGGAAGGCGGGGACGACGUCAAGUCAUCAUGGCCCUUACGACCAGGGCUACACACGUGCUACAAUGGUAGGUACAGAGGGCAGCUACACAGCGAUGUGAUGCGAAUCUCAAAAAGCCUAUCGUAGUCCAGAUUGGAGUCUGCAACUCGACUCCAUGAAGUAGGAAUCGCUAGUAAUCGCGGAUC